AACUGCCAGUGCCCAGCAGUCGUAGUUGAGUCCUGCUGAUGAAACAGAAAACCUGCAACCUGCCCUGUUUGCAGGCAGAACAGACAGUUAAAUAUAUCAGCCAAGGAACAGCAGGGGCUGGUAGCUGAAGUUUGGACAGUCGAGCCCGUAAAUGAUGGAGUCUGGCUCUGUCAUCCAGGCUGGAGUGCACUGAUGCGAUCUGGCUCACUGCAUCCUCCAUCCUCCUCCCUGAUUCAAGCGAUUCUCCUGCCUCAGCCUCCAGAGUAGCUGGGAUUACAGGUGGAAGAAUUCUAAAAUCACACAAGAAAAUGUAAGAUAUCUUCCUCGAAUAUCAACAGAGAAGAACAGCAGCCACGUGGAUAAGGCAGAGUUUGGGAAAUCCUGGAUUCCCUUAUCAUAAAGCAUCUUACAGUAACCUCAGAAAUGCAGAAGUUACUUGUAAUGGUGCUGUAGACACUGUACGAGAAAGUUUCACCUUUAUGAUCUAAUUUAAUUCUCACAAAAACCCUGUUAGGUAGGGUGUUAUUAUUUAAAUUUAAAUCAGAGGAAAAUGUAACAGGAAUUCUGCAACUUACAGUCAAAGAGAUAAUAAACAGGAGCAUCUGUG
rnacentral:lncRNA from 1 species